rnacentral:misc_RNA from 1 species
AAUUCUCAAGCUGGGAUUGGCUUUAUUGUCAGUCUUGGUUUGGAUUUGGACUUUGCCGUGUAAUGACGGCUAGUCUUAAAAGCAUUAGCUGAAUCUUGGUUAUGAGACUGGUUCUACUCAGCGUGAUAAUUAUCUGACCGCUGAGGACAUCUUUCGGGAUGGCCAGACUUGUCCUCGAGUCGCUUCUAAUCUGGUUUAAAGUGGGGGCUUAACUGUCUCUACUUUUCCGCUUUUUCAA